rnacentral:misc_RNA from 1 species
ACCAGAUAUUAAUCCCAUCAGCCAUCACGAUUCACGCCAUCAGCGAAUCAGCAAAGCAAUCAGCCAAGAGCCAACGUCCGUGCAUCCAUCACAGCUGUUCUCAGAUUACAACCAUGGCGCCUAGAAAGCAUCCAUCUGGUAGUAAGAAAAGGAAGAGAAGGAAAGAAGUAGAGGAAUUUAUAGAAUCACAAAGAGGUGCCAUGGAUAAAUUUGUUCGCACUAAUACAAGAACUUCAAGUAAUGAAGAUCAACCAAAUUUGGCUAUAGUUGUUGUGGCGGAACAACCAAAUACCAACGAAGAAGAGGAAUGGAGAAGUUCAUGAUAGAAAAUAUCAACGACUAUAUCCCUCGGAAUUUGACCCAAGGAAUUUGGGUAAUCUUGAUAACAAGUCGAG